GAUGAACGCUGGCGGCGUGCCUAAUACAUGCAAGUCGAGCGAACGGACGAGAAGCUUGCUUCUCUGAUGUUAGCGGCGGACGGGUGAGUAACACGUGGAUAACCUACCUAUAAGACUGGGAUAACUUCGGGAAACCGUAGCUAAUACCGGAUAAUAUUUUGAACCGCAUGGUUCAAAAGUGAAAGACGGUCUUGCUGUCACUUAUAGAUGGAUCCGCGCUGCAUUAGCUAGUUGGUAAGGUAACGGCUUACCAAGGCAACGAUGCAUAGCCGACCUGAGAGGGUGAUCGGACACACUGGAACUGAGACACGGUCCAGACUCCUACGGGAGGCAGCAGUAGGGAAUCUUCCGCAAUGGGCGAAAGCCUGACGGAGCAACGCAGCGUGAGUGAUGAAGGUCUUCGGAUCGUAAAACUCUGUUAUUAGGGAAGAACAUAUGUGUAAGUAACUGUGCAAAUCUUGACGGUACCUAAUCAGAAAGCCACGGCUAACUACGUG
rnacentral:rRNA from 1 species